rnacentral:rRNA from 1 species
UACGUAGGGGGCAAGCGUUGUCCGGAUUUAUUGGGCGUAAAGCGCGUGUAGGCGGCUUAGCAAGUCGGGCGUGAAAGCCCUCGGCUCAACCGAGGAAGUGCACCCGAAACUGCUGAGCUUGAGUGCCGGAGAGGAUGGCGGAAUUCCCCAAGUAGAGGUGAAAUUCGUAGAUAUGGGGAGGAACACCGGUGGCGAAGGCGGCCAUCUGGACGGUAACUGACGCUGAGACGCGAAAGCGUGGGUAGCAAACAGG